rnacentral:rRNA from 1 species
GACGAACCGUGCGAACGUUGUUCGGAAUAACUGGGCAUAAAGGGCGCGUAGGCGGGCCCGAAAGUCAGGGGUGAAAUCCCACGGCUCAACCGUGGAAGCGCCUUUGAUACUGCGGGCCUGGAGGGAGGCAGGGGAGUGCGGAACUUCCGGUGGAGCGGUGAAAUGCGUAGAUAUCCGGAGGAACACCAGUGGCGAAAGCGGCCACCUGGACUGCACCUGACGCUGACACGCGAAAGCUAGGGGAGCGAACGGG